GACGUAGGGGACGAGCGUUGUCCGGAUUCAUUGGGCGUAAAGGGUGCGUAGGUGGCGGGGUAAGUCAGGUGUGAAAUCUCGAGGCUCAACCUCGAAACUGCACUUGAUACUGCCUUGCUAGAGUACUGGAGAGGAGAUUGGAAUUUACGGUGUAGCAGUGAAAUGCGUAGAUAUCGGGAGGAACACCAGUGGCGAAGGCGGCUUUCUGGGCCUAUCCUGACGCUGAGGAGCGAAAGCGUGGGGAGCAAACCGG
rnacentral:rRNA from 1 species